UACGUAGGGACCGAGCGUUGUCCGGAAUCAUUGGGCGUAAAGCGCGUGUAGGCGGUCCGGUAAGUCCGCUGUGAAAGUCGGGGGCUCAACCCUCGGAUGCCGGUGGAUACUGUCGGGCUUGAGUACGGAAGAGGCGAGUGGAUUUCCUGGUGUAGCGGUGAAAUGCGCAGAUAUCAGGAGGAACACCAAUUGCGAAGGCAGCUCGCUGGGACGUUACUGACGCUGAGACGCGAAAGCGUGGGGAGCAAACAGG
rnacentral:rRNA from 1 species